rnacentral:rRNA from 1 species
GAUGAACGCUAGCGGCAGGCCUAACACAUGCAAGUCGAGGGGUAGAACACUUCGGUGUUUGAGACCGGCGCACGGGUGCGUAACGCGUAUGCAAUCUACCUUGUACAGGGGAAUAGCCCAGAGAAAUUUGGAUUAAUGCCCCAUAGUAUAUAACCUUCGCAUGUUGGUUAUAUUAAAGUUCCAACGGUACAAGAUGAGCAUGCGUCCCAUUAGUUAGUUGGUAAGGUAACGGCUUACCAAGACGAUGAUGGGUAGGGGUCCUGAGAGGGAGGUCCACCACAAUGGUACUGAGACACGGACCAGACUCCUACGGGAGGCAGCAGUGAGGAAUAUUGGUCAAUGGGCGCAAGCCUGAACCAGCCAUGCCGCGAGCAGGAAGACGGUCCUAUGGAUUGUAAACUGCUUUUAUACAGGAAGAAACCCUCCCACGUGUGGGAGAUUGACGGUACUGUAGGAAUAAGGAUCGGCUAACUCCGUGCCAGCAGCCGCCGUAACAC